rnacentral:rRNA from 1 species
GUCGAGCGAAGAAUGUUAAGGAAGUUUACGGAUGGAAUUAAGAUUGACUGAUCGGCGGACGGGUGAGUAACGCGUGGGUAACCUGCCUCAUACAGGGGGAUAACAGUUAGAAAUGACUGCUAAUAUCGCAUAAGCGCACAGGACCGCAUGGUCCGGUGUGAAAAACUCCGGUGGUAUGAGAUGGACCCGCGUCUGAUUAGUUAGUUGGCGGGGUAGCGGCCCACCAAGACGACGAUCAGUAGCCGACCUGAGAGGGUGACCGGCCACAUUGGGACUGAGACACGGCCCAAACUCCUACGGGAGGCAGCAGUGGGGAAUAUUGCACAAUGGGGGAAACCCUGAUGCAGCGACGCCGCGUGAGUGAAGAAGUAUUUCGGUAUGUAAAGCUCUAUCAGCAGGGAAGAAGUUGACGGUACCUGAGUAAGAAGCCCCGGCUAACUACGUGCCAGCAGCCGCGGUAAUACGUAGGGGGCAAGCGUUAUCCGGAUUUACUGGGUGUAAAGGGAGCGUAGACGGCAGUGCAAGUCUGAAGUGAAAUCCCGGGGCUUAACCCCGGAACUGCUUUGGAAACUGUGCGGCUGGAGUGCAGGAGGGGUAAGCGGAAUUCCUAGUGUAGCGGUGAAAUGCGUAGAUAUUAGGAGGAACACCGGUGGCGAAGGCGGCUUACUGGACUGUAACUGACGUUGAGGCUCGAAAGCGUGNGGAGCAAACAGGAUUAGAUACCCUGGNAGUCCACGCCGUAAACGAUGAUUACUAGGUGUCGGGGGAUCAAGGUCCUCCGGUG